rnacentral:pre_miRNA from 1 species
GUGGGAUGAGGUAGUAGGUUGUAUAGUUUUACGGUCAUACCCGCACUGGGAGAUAACUAUUAAACCUACUGUCUUUCCCAA